rnacentral:rRNA from 1 species
UCAGCCUACGGGAGGCAGCAGUGAGGAAUAUUGGUCAAUGGGCUAAGGCCUGAACCAGCCAAGUCGCGUGAGGGAAGACGGUCCUAUGGAUUGUAAACCUCUUUUGUCGGGGAGCAACGAGGCCACGUGUGGCCGAAGUGAGAGUACCCGAAGAAAAAGCAUCGGCUAACUCCGUGCCAGCAGCCGCGGUAAUACGGAGGAUGCGAGCGUUAUCCGGAUUUAUUGGGUUUAAAGGGUGCGUAGGCGGGCAUUUAAGCCGGCGGUCAAAUGUCGGGGCUCAACCCCGGCCUGCCGUCGGAACUGGG